rnacentral:rRNA from 1 species
AUUGAACGCUGGCGGCAGGCCUAACACAUGCAAGUCGAGCGGAUGAAGGGAGCUUGCUCCUGGAUUCAGCGGCGGACGGGUGAGUAAUGCCUAGGAAUCUGCCUGGUAGUGGGGGAUAACGUCCGGACACGGGCGCUAAUACCGCAUACGUCCUGAGGGAGAAAGUGGGGGAUCUUCGGACCUCACGCUAUCAGAUGAGCCUAGGUCGGAUUAGCUAGUUGGUGGGGUAAAGGCCUACCAAGGCGACGACCCGUAACUGGUCUGAGAGGAUGAUCAGUCACACUGGAACUGAGACACGGUCCAGACUCCUACGGGAGGCAGCAGUGGGGAAUAUUGGACAAUGGGCGAAAGCCUGAUCCAGCCAUGCCGCGUGUGUGAAGAAGGUCUUCGGAUUGUAAAGCACUUUAAGUUGGGAGGAAGGGCAGUAAGUUAAUACCUUGCUGUUUUGACGUUACCAACAGAAUAAGCACCGGCUAACUUCGUG